UACGUAGGUGGCGAGCGUUGUCCGGAUUUAUUGGGCGUAAAGAGCGUGUAGGCGGCCAGAUAGGUCCGUUGUGAAAACUCGAGGCUCAACCUCGAGACGCCGAUGGAAACCAUUUGGCUAGAGUCCGGAAGAGGAGAGUGGAAUUCCUGGUGUAGCGGUGAAAUGCGCAGAUAUCAGGAAGAACACCGGUGGCGAAGGCGGGUCUCUGGGCAGUAACUGACGCUGAGGAGCGAAAGCGUGGGGAGCAAACAGG
rnacentral:rRNA from 1 species